UAAAAUACUUUAUUAUAGUGUUAAUAAUGAAAACUUGUAGUUACUGAAAGAUAAGAGAGAGAAUCGGACAAGGUGUAGCGUGUCAACAUCAACCAAGGUGGACGUCUUGUUUAUUGUUGUUAAUUUUGUUAGUAAAUGUUAAUUUGUGGGCCUUCCUCCCUCCCUCGUGUUUACUGCUCCAAUUGGUUGUUACUGUAGUGUUAAGACAACUACCAUAUUGCUGCCUCGCUGAUCAUGGUUAAUGAAGUUCCUCGUGUCAUUGUCUAGGACGGUGACGUGAAGAUGUAAGACAUGGGCCACAAGACGAAGGUUUGUUUUGGUUAACAGGUCUCUUGCUGCACCACAUUGGAAGCUUUCUGCUAUAACAUAAGAUAUUGUGAUGUCACAUCUCAAGACCAAGUGUAACUAAGUAGAAGUUCGCAAUGUCAAGCAGAGAUAAAAAGUUCUCCUGUGAGGAAUGUGGCAAACAGUUUGGCUUCAAGUCUACUCUUCAGAGACAUUUACUUGUACACAAUGGUGUGAAGGAGUUUGAAUGUGAGGAAUGUGGGAAAUGUUUCUCCCAGAAGAGUAAUCUCAAGACACACAUUCUUGUACACAAUGGUG